CACGUCCCUCAGGAAUCACAAAUUAAUGUUUUUUUCAUUUUGACUGUGUAUUUGUCUGACUGUCUACGCCGGAACGCAGCGAUAGCAAGAGAAAACGGAAACACAACGGAACGCAGCAUACGCGGGCGGGCGACCGACCGACUUCCGGUGACGCGACUCCUGCCAUUUUUACGUUAGGACAAAAUACGCAUCUCAACUUUAUAAUUGUCGAAAUAUAGUUAUUUCACUAAUUUAAUUAAGUACCAAAACUUAAUUGUUAUUAAAUACACAGAUAAAACCAAAAGAAAGGUCGGUUUUACCGCCUUAAGAUCUGGCGACCGCGAAGAAAUCACUGCAACUUCGGGAAACAAAAGAAAGAGCAGCAGGCGCUCAACGCGACAAGGCUGAGCUGAGCUGGCUGAGGGAGAGUCUUCAACGCUCAUUUGAAAAAACUCCAACCGAAUUAACGAUUGCUUUGGUUUUCAUGUGGAUAUUAAGGUAUUGAGGAUAAGCCUAAGACAGAGAACACUAGGAGACCACCAUUGUGAGAACCAUGCGAGGUGAUGGUGUAGGGGCUGCAGGCGCUGUGACACUUCAAGCACCUCGGGUGCUGUGCUGCUGCAUGAGCUUUGCAUGCUGUAUGGAGUGCCAACUGCCAGCAUGUCGUUUGGAAUAAGGAGAGUUGUACACGAGAAUAUGUAACUGCCAUGUCGCAGCAAGCCAGCGCUGUUGUACCGGUGCGGCUGGUCUUAGCUACAGCGCUACUGUGCCGGUGCUCCUGAUUGCGGCGCGAGCGCUGCUGUGCCGGCACUGCUGGUCGCGGCACGAGCGCUGUUGUGCCGACGCUCCUGAUUGCGGCACGAGCGCUGCAGUGCCGGUGCUCCCGAUUGCGAAACGAGCGCUGCUGUGACGGAGCUGCUGGGCGCGACACGAGCACUGCUGUGCCGGUGCUCCUGAUUGUUGCGGCACGAGCGCUGCUGUGCCGGUGCUGCUGGGCGCGGCACGAGCACUGCUGUGCCGGUGCUGCUGAUUGCGGCACGGGUGCUGCUGUGCUGGUUCUGUUGGCUUAUGCCUUCCGAAUAGUCUGAGCCUCUGGUUUAUGCCUUCCGAAUAGUCUGAGCCUCCUAUUAUUUGAGCUAAAGUGUUUCGAGGCUCAACCAGGCUCACCCAGAUCCUGCCGAGAACGUCAGGGUGCCGGGAGAGGCCGUGUUAGCUGCCAGUGGUUACAUAGAGGGUAGCAGAAACGAGCGACCAUUGACACCCCGGCGCCACCCAGCCGUGCAUCUCUGAUUGGAGUACAUGUUAUACAUAGUUUGACGGGAAUACGAUUUUGAUUAAUCUUAAUUGAUUCAUUUUAAAACUGUUUCUUGUUAUUUCCUUAUUAAAUAGACCUGCUUCUGGUUUUUACGACAUGUAUAUAUUUUAUGUAUUUCAUUUGUAUCCCAAGUAUUUUAAAAAUUAAUCUAUUUUAUGUAGUUCCUCCAGA
rnacentral:lncRNA from 1 species